rnacentral:rRNA from 1 species
GAUGAACGCUGGCGGCGUGCUUAAUACAUGCAAGUCGAGCGAACAGACGAGGAGCUUGCUCCUCUGACGUUAGCGGCGGACGGGUGAGUAACACGUGGAUAACCUACCUAUCAGACUGGGAUGACUUCGGGAAACCGGAGCUAAUACCGGAUAACAUGUUGAACCGCAUGGUUCAACAGUGAAAGACGGUCUUGCUGUCACUUUUAGAUGGAUCCGCGCCGCAUUAGCUAGUUGGUAAGGUAACGGGUUACCAAGGCAACGAUGCGUAGCCGACCUGAGGGGGUGAUCGGCCACACUGGAACUGAGACACGGUCCAGACUCCUACGGGAGGCAGCAGUAGGGAAUGUUCCGCAAUGGGCGAAAGCCUGACGGAGCGACGCCGCGUGAGUGAAGAAGGUCUUCGGAUCGUAAAACUCUGUUAUUAGGGAAGAACAAAUGUGUAAGUAACUAUGCACGUCUUGACGGUACCUAAUCAGAAAGCCACGGCUAACUACGUG